CAGAAGGACCGGCUGUUGCUCCGGCUGUAGGAGGAGGUUGAACAGAAGAGAGAAGGUGGUUAGACAUCCCUGUAGUGAGGCGGAGAGCUGGUCUAACCGCUGCAUGGUGUGGUUCUGUUGUUCGAAAAGUAGGUUAAAACGUGCAUCUUGCUGGGUGGAUAUCUGGGACGGUUCAGAGGAUACCCUAGUGGGCGAUUCUGCUGGGUCAUACUGGCCUGAUGCUUCUGUCAUAUUAGGAGCGAUCUUUUUGACCCACAUGCAGAAUCACUCUAGAACACAGGUAAGUUUUAAAGGUUUAAUCAGGCUGGAUGAUAGUUGGAGCUUGCAGAGGCAGCUGGCAGCUGGUUUCCAGGGUUUUCUGUCCAAGUGUGAAGAAAGUGAAUCCAGAGUUGAGAUCAGCCAAAAACACGAGCUUAGGUUACUGCAAUGUUUGCACAAAGACUUACAAAGUUUCAACCAAGAACUUGGAAACUGGUAUCUCGGAGGCAUGAGUUACCACUCAACGUGGAGCAUCAGGAGAAGAAUGCUUGUCCUGCAGCUCCUUAAAAGGGACUUUACAGCUGUGAAGUCAGUGAUGAAGAAUAUACCACCAUAACUGAGAGCUGUGUGAAAGGAGGUGAAGGUGGAGGUGAAAGUAAAGCAACAAGUUAAAACUCCACAAAUCAUUAAAGACAUUAAGAUUUUCUGCCAAAUAAUUACAAAGCAUAAAACAUAGCUUCAUCCUUUCAAUGUCUUUGUUUUAUUUCAGAUCGUUCAUUCAGACCUGCAGUUGUGUCAGGAGUUAUUGUUCUGUUUAUAGUGAAAUGUGUUUGCAUUUUGUGCCUAGAAGACGAAGAGGUAAAAAGUACUUGAGUUCAGUUACAAAUCCUUACAUUACGUUUGUACUGAUGAUGUCAUCUGACCUUAAAUAGUUUCAGGUCAAUCAACACAAGCAGGAACGUGAACGAACAAGACAUCUGGAAUUAGCUGACUGUGUGGCUGGACAACAGUGUCCUAAGGACUGGUUCUUUACCAAAGUAGUUUUCCUAAAGUCUGAAACAAGAUGACACCUGAACAGCUGCAGGAAUCCUCACACAGCCGCCCUCAAAUGUUUCACAGCGCAGACAUUUAUUAGUUGGGUCAUAAAUUAAUGACUGAGUCAACAAGUAAUAUUAUGAAUAAUUCUUUCAAAUGUGGCCGAUAGUAACAACCUGAAGGUUGUAACUGAUGAAGCCAUUACUGAUAUGUUUCUGAAUGUUUGAAAAUUGUUUUAAUUCUUUGAAUUAUAUUUAACAUUUAGGUCUUUCUAUGAAUAUUUCUUUAUUUAGCAUUCUGUUUAACUUCAUCUUUUAAUGUUUCUGUUACUUUUAAAUAAAGGUUCUCAAACCUCAGUUGUUGCUGUGUGAAUAUUAAUUAACAGACUUUUUCACUAUAAACAAACAUGGUUCUAAUCUGGCUAAAUUUUAUUUUCUAGGAGUCAAAUGAUCUUUUUUGGAGGAAAAAAUGUGGACUAAUGUGAUAAAGAGACGCCUUAUAUCUUCUGACGACCAAUCGCUGCACUGGUAGAACGCUGAGUGUAUUUCCAGUUUUUAUUAAUUAAAAUUCACAGUAGGUAUGUAUUAUGAAUAUUAAUAUGAGGAAAACAACCGAUUUUUAACAGAAACAUGACUGUAUCGAGGUUCUGAGAGUCUAACAGGUAGAAUGUAUGUUGGUUUAGCAGCGCCCUCUGCUGGCCAGGACCUGAAACAAUAAGAAACA